rnacentral:lncRNA from 1 species
GUGAAGCAAGUGCCUUAGAUAAGGUCAAGGGUGAUCUUAGAUUGAGCAUGAAAAUCGACCUUGUCGAGCCAUUUGAACUAUUCAAGUCCUUGACUGAGGCAAAGAGCCCACCACACCAAAUCACAGAGAAGCAAAAGACUGCAUGUGAGAGGUAAACAUAAUGAAUAUAUAUAUAUAUUGAAGAGAAUAAUCCAACUCAGAUAGGAUCGCC